AAAUCCGUUGGUUUUAUAGAUCGNGAGG
rnacentral:tRNA from 2 species